ACCAGCUAUACUCUGCACUUGUUAUCUUCUUUGCAUUCCUGCUGACAUCCUGGAAAGGGAUGAGAGAGAGGUGGAGAGAGAAGAAAUGGAAAUUCAAAAGUUUUGACGGCAGAGGAAAAUUGUGCUUAUUUCCAGAAUGAGACGAACAAGGUCCUGGGUCCCUACAUGUCAUACUGGCUAGAGACUGGGAAACAGAUUAACUGAGAGAAGCCAUCAAGCCUGAAGAGACAUCGUGUUUGAAAUGUGUAAGGCACAGUGUACCCGCCGUGGAUCAAAACAACCUGAAGGACAGACAGACAGACACACCGAGGAUCAGCAGAUAUCAGUGGGGACAGGUGCUGAUGAUGGUGCAAAUGAGAGUCAUGAAGGAAAGUUAAAUGAUGACCAAAGACCAAGUACCUUCCCCACAAUGCUUUGACAAGCGCUUUUAUAAGCACCCUGGAAUUUAGACACUACCCGGGGAGAAAAGGAAAGGGAGACAAGCAUGAAUUGUCUGAGAAACCCCUGAAUUAAUCAUGUGUACCCCAAUGCAACAAGGAUCUAGAUAUAGAAUAAUUUUAAUUAUAGAAAACAAAAUUAUAUUUUACCCACCCAUAUUUGAUGCCCAUGAAUUUCACAUCUACCUUACGUGCACAUAAAAUUCAAGCUUAGAUAGACGGAAAACAAAAAAUCAAGAAGCAAUAUUUGCCUUCUAAUAACUUAUCUAUUGGAGGAGGUAAAAGAUAGAAAAGUAGUUCAGAUGACAAAUACUAAAAGAGUUAGGAACUUCUGCUUCCACUUACGAUGAAGGAACUUGUACUCAAUCCAUCCACUUUGUAAUUCUCCUUGAGCUGCUGUAAUAAAGUACCACAAACUGGGUGACU
rnacentral:lncRNA from 1 species